UACGGAGGGGGCUAGCGUUGUUCGGAAUUACUGGGCGUAAAGCGCACGUAGGCGGCUUUGUAAGUUAGAGGUGAAAGCCCAGGGCUUAACCCUGGAAUUGCCUUUAAGACUGCAUCGCUAGAAUCGUGGAGAGGUGAGUGGAAUUCCGAGUGUAGAGGUGAAAUUCGUAGAUAUUGGGAAGAACACCGGUGGCGAAGGCGGCGACCUGGUCCGUGACUGACGCUGAGGUGCGAAAGCGUGGGGAGCAAACAGG
rnacentral:rRNA from 1 species